CGCGGCCUAUCAGCUUGUUGGCGGGGUAACGGCCCACCAAGGCGUCGACGGGUAGCUGGUCUGAGAGGAUGAUCAGCCACACUGGGACUGAGACACGGCCCAGACUCCUACGGGAGGCAGCAGUGGGGAAUCUUGCACAAUGGGCGCAAGCCUGAUGCAGCAACGCCGCGUGCGGGAAGAAGGCCCUAGGGUUGUAAACCGCUUUCAGCAGGGAAGAAAAUGACGGUACCUGUAGAAGAAGGUGCGGCCAACUACGUGCCAGCAGCCGCGGUGACACGUAGGCACCAAGCGCUGUCCGGAUUUAUUGGGCGUAAAGAGCUCGUAGGCGGUUCGGUAAGUCGGGUGUGAAAACUCUGGGCUCAACCCAGAGACGCCACCCGAUACUGCUGUGACUAGAGUGCGGUAGGGGAGCGGGGAAUUCCUGGUGUAGCGGUGAAAUGCGCAGAUAUCAGGAGGAACACCAGUGGCGAAGGCGCCGCUCUGGGCCGUGACUGACGCUGAGGAGCGAAAGCGUGGGUAGCAAACAGGAUUAGAUACCCUGGUAGUCCACGCCGUAAACGUUGGGCACUAGGUGUGGGUCUCAACCAACGAGAUCCGCGCCGUCGCAAACGCAUUAAGUGCCCCGCCUGGGGAGUACGG
rnacentral:rRNA from 1 species